rnacentral:tRNA from 1 species
GGUGCUAUCGCUCAGUUGUAGAGCACUUGCCUUGCAUGUGUGAGGCACUGGAUUCAAUUCUUAGCACCA